rnacentral:rRNA from 1 species
AUGUGUGUUCCAAAAGAGAGAUGAGGCAUGGAAUUCAGAGACUUGCACUGUUUUAAUAUGGCACUUUUGGCUAAGCAGUGUUGGAGGUUGUUGUCUGAACCAGAAUCACUUUGUGCGAGAGUGUUGAAGGCUAAAUAUUUUCCUGAGAGCGACCUUCUGAAUUAUAGUCUUAAGAAGGGUAGUUCUUAUACAUGGCAGAGCCUAUGGAGUGGGAUACAAACUUUCAAGAAAGGGCAUAUAUGA